rnacentral:misc_RNA from 1 species
UUGAAAUCCUUAGGAUGUUGCUGGCCUUUCGGGGCAUGUGCACUCCGCCUUUUCAAUUCACCUGUGAACUCAUUGUAGUCCGGACUUUUAUUAGUCUGUGUCUAUGUUUUUAUACACCCCAUUUAAAAAGUUUAACAGAAUGUCAUAUCAGACCUUUAUCGGUCGAAAUAAAUUAAUA